CCCUUAGACGUUCUGGGCCGCACGCGCGCUACACUGACGAAGGCAACGAGCUUUCCUUUACCGAAAGGUACGGGUAAUCUUUUGAAACUUCGUCGUGCUGGGGAUAGAUCCUUGCAAUUUUUGAUCUUAAACGAGGAAUGCCUAGUAAGCGCAAGUCAUCAACUUGCGUUGAUUACGUCCCUGCCCUUUGUACACACCGCCCGUCGCUACUACCGAUUGAAUGGUUUAGUGAGACCUUCGGAUCCGCGACUCGUUUGUGGAGAAGUUGGACAAACUCAGUCAUUUAGAGGAAGUAAAAGUCGUAACA
rnacentral:rRNA from 1 species